rnacentral:rRNA from 1 species
AUUGAACGCUGGCGGCAUGCCUUACACAUGCAAGUCGAACGGCAACGGGCCUUCGGGUGCCGACGAGUGGCGAACGGGUGAGUAAUAUAUCGGAACGUACCUUUCAGUGGGGGAUAACGUAGCGAAAGUUACGCUAAUACCGCAUAUUCUGUGCGCAGGAAAGCAGGGGACCUUCGGGCCUUGCCCUGAUUGAGCGGCCGAUAUCAGAUUAGCUAGUUGGUGAGGUAAAGGCUCGCCAAGGCGACGAUCUGUAGCGGUUCUGAGAGGAUGAUCCGCCACACUGGAACUGAGACACGGUCCAGACUCCUACGGGAGCCAGCAGUGGGGAAUUUUGGACAAUGGGGGCAACCCUGAUCCAGCCAUGCCGCGUGAGUGAAGAAGGCCUUCGGGUUGUAAAGCUCUUUCGGCCGGGAAGAAAUCGUAUGGGCUAAUACCCUGUGCGGAUGACGGUACCGGCAUAAGAAGCACCGGCUAACUACGUGCCAGCCGCCGCCGUAAGAC